UAAGCCCAAGGUUUCCCGGGCCAGGAUCAUCCUCCCGGGGUUAGUCGGGACCUAAGCCGAGGCCACAUGGCGUAGGCGAUGGAAAUCAGGUUAAUAUUCCUGAACCAGCUUGGAUGUGUUGACGUCAGCAGGGACGAAGAAAGAUAGCUCAGCCGGGCGAUGGUGCCGGUUCAAGCUCGUAGGUGGAUUCCCCAGGACCGUACCGGACAAACAGGGAGUCAAAACACCGAGAAGCGAUGAGGGAUAGACCGCCUCGGCGGAAAGUCAAACUGAGUGAUUCUAUGCUUCCGAGAAAAGCUGCGGGCCGAGCAUUCCGGCUGUCCGUACCGCAAACCGACUCAGGUGGGCGGGAAGAGUAUUCCAAGGCGUUUGAGAGAACCGUGGUUAAGGAACUAGGCAAAUUGACACCGUAACUUCGGGAUAAGGUGUGCCUCCGAGGUGGAGCAGAACAUGCCGAGCCAGAAGAGGUCGCAGAGAAUAGGGGGUAGCGACUGUUUACCAAAAACACAGGACUGUGCGAAGUCACGAAGACGACGUAUACGGUCUGACGCCUGCCCGGUGCUGGAAGGUUAAGAGGAGAGGUUAGACGCAAGUCGAAGCUUUGAAUCGAAGCCCCAGUAAACGGCGGCCGUAACAAUAACGGUCCUAAGGUAGCGAAAUUCCUUGUCGGGUAAGUUCCGACCUGCACGAAUGGCGUAACGACUUCCCCGCUGUCUCAACCAUGGACUCAGUGAAAUUGAAUUCUCGGUGAAGAUGCCGAGUACCCGCGGCAAGACGGAAAGACCCCGUGAACCUUUACUAUAACUUGACAGUGGUAUUCGGGUGGAUCUGUGUAGGAUAGGUGGGAGACUUCGAAGCGGGUGCGCCAGCAUCCGUGGAGUCAUCGUUGAAAUACCACCCUGGUCCUCCUGGAUGCCUAACGUGGGCGGCUGAAGCGUCGUCACGGACACUGUCUGGUGGGUAGUUUGACUGGGGCGGUCGCCUCCCAAAAAGUAACGGAGGCGCACAAAGGUUCCCUCAGCCUGAUUGGAAACCAGGCGAAGAGUGCAAAGGCAGAAGGGAGCUUGACUGUGAGACCUACAAGUCGAGCAGGUGCGAAAGCAGGUCUUAGUGAUCCGGUGGUUCUGCGUGGAAGGGCCAUCGCUUAACGGAUAAAAGGUACUCCGGGGAUAACAGGCUUAUCUCCCCCAAGAGUUCACAUCGACGGGGAGGUUUGGCACCUCGAUGUCGGCUCAUCGCAUCCUGGGGCUGGAGCAGGUCCCAAGGGUUUGGCUGUUCGCCAAUUAAAGCGGUACGCGAGCUGGGUUCAGAACGUCGUGAGACAGUUCGGUCCCUAUCUGCCGUGGGCGCAGGAGUUUUGAGAGGAGCUGUCCCUAGUACGAGAGGACCGGGAUGGACUGACCUCUGGUGCACCAGUUGUCACGCCAGUGGCAUAGCUGGGUAGCUAAGUCGGGACGGGAUAACCGCUGAAAGCAUCUAAGCGGGAAGCCCACCUCAAGAUAAGAACUCCCAGGGGUAACCCUCUGAAGGCCCGUCGUAGACUACGACGUUGAUAGGCUGGGUGUGUAAGCGUCGGAAAAGGCGUUGAGCUAACCGGUACUAAUAGGCCGUGUGGCUUGACU
rnacentral:rRNA from 1 species